AAAGGAGCUCUCUGCUAAAAUGUUAAAAAAGAAUAAGAUCAACUUAAAUGAAAUAUCACAUGACUCUGCAAUUGGCCUUGUCACUAGGGUGCUAAACAUGGGAGUUCUUUUGACUGAGGUUUAUGUGGAUACAGUGGGAGACUCUGAGAAAUAUAGAGUAAAACUAUCCGAAAGAUUUCCUUCUAUCAAAUUUGUUGUUGCAAAGAAGGCUGAUAGCCUUUAUCCUGUUGUGAGUGGAGCAAGCAUAGUUGCAAAGGUUACACGAGACCGAGCAUUGCGAGAAUGGGUGCUUGAUGAAACAGCUGAAGGCAUGAAUAGGAACUUUGGUUCUGGAUAUCCUGGAGAUCCUGAAACCAAGGCCUGGUUGGAACAACACAAACACCAGGUAUUUGGAUUUCCAACAUUGGUCCGCUUCAGUUGGGGCACAUGCACUUCCCAUUUCAAAGACAUUGUUGAAGUCUUGUGGGAAUCUGAUAAAAUGGAUGAAGAUUGUCCUAGCAGUGGGAAAAGACAAUUGAAGUUGAGCAGUUUUGGUGUCACAACACCCAAAAGGAAAAGUGAAGAAAUAGAAUCAAGUGGUAAAGGACGUUGCAG
rnacentral:misc_RNA from 1 species